AAUUCGCCCUUAGAGUUUGAUCCUGGCUCAGAUUGAACGCUGGCGGCAUGCCUUACACAUGCAAGUCGAACGGUAACGCGGGGCAACCUGGCGACGAGUGGCGAACGGGUGAGUAAUAUAUCGGAACGUGCCCAGUCGUGGGGGAUAACUGCUCGAAAGAGCAGCUAAUACCGCAUACGACCUGAGGGUGAAAGCGGGGGAUCUUCGGACCUCGCGCGAUUGGAGCGGCCGAUAUCAGAUUAGGUAGUUGGUGGGGUAAAGGCCUACCAAGCCGACGAUCUGUAGCUGGUCUGAGAGGACGACCAGCCACACUGGGACUGAGACACGGCCCAGACUCCUACGGGAGGCAGCAGUGGGGAAUUUUGGACAAUGGGGGCAACCCUGAUCCAGCCAUGCCGCGUGCGGGAAGAAGGCCUUCGGGUUGUAAACCCCUUUUGUCAGGGAAGAAAUCCUUUGGGCUAAUAACUCGGAG
rnacentral:rRNA from 1 species